rfam:Alligator mississippiensis ScZkoYb_4872, whole genome shotgun sequence.
AUGCUCUGGCUUCUCUUCAAGUUGCAUAAAUCUUUCGCCUUUUACUAAAGAUUUCCGUGGAGAGGAGCAGUUAUGAGUCUCGACCCAAUUUUUGAGGCCCUGUUUUGGCGGGGCU